UGAGGAAUAUUGGUCAAUGGCCGGAAGGCUGAACCAGCCAAGUCGCGUGAGGGAAGACGGCCCUACGGGUUGUAAACCUCUUUUGUCAGGGAGCAAACCUCUCCACGCGUGGGGAGUCGAGAGUACCUGAAGAAAAAGCAUCGGCUAACUCCGUGCC
rnacentral:rRNA from 1 species